AGAUGGCCGGAUGGCCGCCUUCCGGUGCUGCCGGGGGGAGGAAAGUCCGGGCUCCGCGGAGACACGGUGCCGGGUAACACCCGGCGGGGGCGACCCCAGGGAAAGUGCCACAGAAAGCAAACCGCCCGUAGCCGCUUCGGCGUUGCGGGCAAGGGUGAAAGGGUGCGGUAAGAGCGCACCGCGUUGCCGGCAACGGUGAUGGCAGGGCAAACCCCACCGGGAGCAAGACCGCAUAGGGGCGGCGCGCCGCAAGGCAGGCGGGUCUUCGCGCCGGCCGCCCGGGUAGGUCGCGCGAGGCGUCCGGUAACGGACGUCCCAGAUGAAUGGCCAUCGCCCGCCGACCCGCGAGGGUGGCGGGUACAGAACCCGGCUUACAGGCCAUCUG
rnacentral:RNase_P_RNA from 1 species